GCUACGGGUGGCAGCAGUGGGGAAUAUUGCACAAUGGGGGAAACCCUGAUGCAGCGACGCCGCGUGAGUGAAGAAGUAAUUCGUUACGUAAAGCUCUAUCAGCAGGGAAGAAAUACUGACCUUACGGUCAGCAGACGGUACCUGAGUAAGAAGCCCCGGCUAACUACGUGCCAGCAGCCGCGGUAAUCCGGAGGGGGCAAGCGUUAUCCGGAUUUACUGGGUGUAAAGGGAGCGUAGACGGUGCGCCAAGGCUGGAGUGAAAGGCCGCCGAUUAACUGCGGAACUGCUUUGGAAACUGGCGAGCUAGAGUGCGGGAGGGGUAAGCGGAAUUCCUAGUGUAGCGGUGAAAUGCGUAGAUAUUAGGAGGAACACCGGUGGCGAAGGCGGCUUACUGGACCGUAACUGACGUUGAGGCUCGAAAGCGUGGGGAGCAAACAGGAUUAGAUACCCCGGUAGUC
rnacentral:rRNA from 1 species